GCUUAGCCCUUAACAUAGACAGCAAACACACAAUGCUGUCCGCCAGAGAACUACAAGUGAAAAACUAGAAACUCCAAGGACUUGGCGGUGCUCCACACCGACCUAGAGGAGCCUGUCCUAUAAUCGAUAAUCCACGUUUUACCUCACCACUUCUUGCAACUCAGCCUAUAUACCGCCGUCGCCAGCUUACCUUAUGAAAGAACUAAAGUAGGCAAAAUAGUUAACAGCUAAAACGUCAGGUCAAGGUGUAGCACAUGAAGUGGAAGAGAUGGGCUACACUUUCUACCACAGAACAAACGGACAGUACAAUGAAACCCGUACUUAAAGGCGGAUUUAGAAGUAAGAUAGAUAAGAGCCUCUACCUGAAACCCGCUCCGGAG
rnacentral:rRNA from 1 species